rnacentral:rRNA from 1 species
CCCUUAGAUGUUCGGGGCCGCACGCGCGCUACACUGAAUGGAUCAACGUGCCUUUCCCGAGGCUGAAAAGUCGAGGUAAUCCUUUGAACCCCAUUCGUGACGGGGAUAGGAGCUUGCAAUUAUUCUCCUUGAACGAGGAAUUCCCAGUAAGCGCGAGUCAUCAGCUCGCGUUGAUUACGUCCCUGCCCUUUGUACACACCGCCCGUCGCUACUACCGAUCGGAUUGUCCUGUGAAUUUCUAGGAGAGUUGAGGUCCUGGCGCUUCGGUGUCGGCGACCUCAUGCUUGAAUUGAAUUGAACUGGACUCUCUAGAGGAAGUAAAAGUCGUAACA